GCAAGUCGAGGGGUAACAGAUGAAGCGCUUGUUCAGAUUUCUGACGACCGGCGCACGGGUGAGUAACACGUAUGCAACCUACCUUUUACAGAGGGAUAGCCCAGAGAAAUUUGGAUUAAUACCUCAUAAUAUUUUUAACUCGCAUGAUUUUUAAAUUAAAGCUUCGGUGGUAAAAGAUGAGCAUGCGUUCUAUUAGUUUGUUGGUGAGGUAACGGCUUACCAAGACUACGAUAGAUAGGGGUUCUGAGAGGGUGGUC
rnacentral:rRNA from 1 species